GAUGAACGCUAGCGAUAGGCUUAACACACGCAAGUCGAGGGGCAGCAUGGUCUUCGGACCGAUGGCGACCGGCGCACGGGUGAGUAACGCGUAUGCAACCUACCCAUAACACGAGGAUAGCCCGUUGAAAGACGGAUUAAUACUUGAUAACACAGGGGCACCGCAUGGUGAUAUUUGUUAAAGAUUUAUUGGUUAUGGAUGGGCAUGCGUUGGAUUAGCUAGUUGGUAAGGUAACGGCUUACCAAGGCGACGAUCCAUAGGGGAACUGAGAGGUUUAUCCCCCACACUGGUACUGAGACACGGACCAGACUCCUACGGGAGGCAGCAGUGAGGAAUAUUGGUCAAUGGGCGAGAGCCUGAACCAGCCAAGUCGCGUGAAGGAUGACGGUAUUAUGUAUUGUAAACUUCUUUUAUAGGGGAAUAAAUGGACUUACGUGUAAGUUUUUGCAUGUACCCUAUGAAUAAGCAUCGGCUAACUCCGUGCCAGCAGCCGCGGUAAUACGGAGGAUGCGAGCGUUAUCCGGAUUUAUUGGGUUUAAAGGGUGCGUAGGUGGAUUUAUAAGUCCGCGGUGAAAUCCCGAUGCUCAACAUCGGAAUUGCCGUUGAAACUGUAGAUCUUGAGUGUGAACGGGGUAGGCGGAAUUCGUAGUGUAGCGGUGAAAUGCAUAGAUAUUACGAAGAACACCGAUAGCGUAGGCAGCUUACCAGGCCACAACUGACACUGAGGCACGAAAGUGUGGGUAUCAAACAGGAUUAGAUACCCUGGUAGUCCACACAGUAAACGAUGAAUACUAGGUGUUUGCGAUAUAUUGUAAGCGCCCGAGCGAAAGCGUUAUGUAUUCCACCUGGGGAGUACGCCGGCAACGGUGAAACUCAAAGGAAUUGACGGGGGCCCGCACAAGCGGAGGAACAUGUGGUUUAAUUCGAUGAUACGCGAGGAACCUUACCCGGGCCCGAACGGCAUUUGAAGGACUUGGAAACAAGCCGUCCUUCGGGACAGAUGUCGAGGUGCUGCAUGGUUGUCGUCAGCUCGUGCCGUGAGGUGUCGGCUUAAGUGCCAUAACGAGCGCAACCCUUACCGUUAGUUACCAUCAGGUCAAGCUGGGGACUCUAGCGGGACUGCCACCGUAAGGUGUGAGGAAGGUGGGGAUGACGUCAAAUCAGCACGGCCCUUACGUCCGGGGCGACACACGUGUUACAAUGGGCAGGACAGAAGGCAGCUACUUGGCGACAAGAUGCUAAUCCAUCAAACCUGCUCUCAGUUCGGAUUGGAGUCUGCAACUCGACUCCAUGAAGCUGGAUUCGCUAGUAAUCGCGCAUCAGCCAUGGCGCGGUGAAUACGUUCCCGGGCCUUGUACACACCGCCCGUCAAGCCAUGGAAGCCGGGGGUACCUGAAGUACGUAACCGUUAAGGAGCGUCCUAGGGUAAAACUGGUAACUGGGGCU
rnacentral:rRNA from 1 species